AGACUACUGAGGAGUCUCAAAACAGGACGAAACGGCCGUUCAGUGC
rnacentral:hammerhead_ribozyme from 1 species